UACAGAGGGUGCAAGCGUUAAUCGGAAUUACUGGGCGUAAAGAGCACGUAGGUGGUUGGAUAAGUCAGAUGUGAAAGCCCCGGGCUCAACCUGGGAACUGCAUUUGAUACUGGCAGACUAGAGUAUGGUAGAGGGGGGUAGAAUUCCUGGUGUAGCGGUGAAAUGCGUAGAUAUCAGGAGGAAUACCAGUGGCGAAGGCGACCCCCUGGGCCAAUACUGACGCUGAGGUACGAAAGCGUGGGUAGCGAACAGG
rnacentral:rRNA from 1 species